rnacentral:rRNA from 1 species
UACGAGGGGGCAAGCGUUGUUCGGAUUAUUGGGCGUAAAGGGUGCGUAGGCGGUUUGGCAAGUCUUGUGUGAAAUCUUCGGGCUCAACCCGAAGCCUGCAUAAGAAACUGUCGGGCUUGAGUAUGGGAGAGGUGAGUGGAAUUUCCGGUGUAGCGGUGAAAUGCGUAGAUAUCGGAAGGAACACCUGUGGCGAAAGCGGCUCACUGGACCAUUACUGACGCUGAGGCACGAAAGCUAGGGGAGCAAACAGG